CCUGGUUGAUCCUGCCAGUAACAUAUGCUUGUCUCAAAGAUUAAGCCAUGCAGGUCUAAGUGCACACGGCCGGUACAGUGAAACUGCGAAUGGCUCAUUAAAUCAGUUAUGGUUCCUUUGAUCGCUCCAUCCGUUACUUGGAUAACUUGUGGCAUUCCAGAUCUAAUACAUGCCAACGAGCGCGCCGACCCGGUCCCCCCGGGGGCCGGGGACGCGUGCAUUUAUCAGAUCCAAAACCCAUCCGGUGCGGCGUGGGCUCCCCCCUCGGGGGUUCGGGCCUCGCCCCCGGCCGCUUGGUGACUCUAGAUAACCUCGGGCCGAUCGCGCGCCCUCCGCGGCGGCGACGAUUCAUUCGAAUGUCUCCCCUAUCACUUUCGAUGGUACUUUAGGCGUCUACCAUGGUGACCACGGGUAACGGGGAAUCAGGGUUCGAUUCCGGAGAGGGAGCCUGAGAAACGGCUACCACAUCCAAGGAAGGCCAGCAGGCGCGGCAAACCCAUUCCCGACACGGGGAGGUAGGUGACGAAAAAUAACAAUACAGGUCUCUUUCGAGGCCCUGUAAUUGGAAUGAGCGUAUCCUAAACCCAUGGGCGAGGACCCAUUGGAGGGCAAGUCUGGUGCCAGCAGCCGCGGUAAUUCCAGCUCCAAUAGCGUAUAUUAAAGUUGCUGCAGUUAAAAAGCUCGUAGUUGGAUCUCGGGGACCGGGCCGCGCGGUCCGCCGCGAGGCGAGCCACCGCCGGUCCCGGACCCCCAGGCCUCCCGGCGCCCCCCGGAUGCCCUUGACUGGGUGUCCUCGGCUUGGGGCCCGGAGCGUUUACUUUGAAAAAAUUAGAAGUGGGCUGGCGGUCCGCCGCGAGGGCGAGCCACCGCCUGUCCCGGACCCUGCCUCCCGGCGCCCCCCGGAUGCCCUUAGCUGGGUGUCCGGUACCUCGGGGCCCGGAGCGUUUACUUUGAAAAAAUUAGAGUGUUCAAAGCAGGCCGCCCAGCCGCCGCUGAAUACCGCAGCUAGGAAAUAAUGGAAUAGGACUCCGGUUCUAUUUUCUGUGGGUUUCUGGAACCCGGGGCCAUGAUUGAGAGGGACGGCCGGGGGCAUUCGUAUUGCGCCGCUAGAGGUGAAAUUCUUGGACCGGCGCAAGACGGACGAAAGCGAAAGCAUUUUGCCAAGAAUUUUUUAUUAAUCAAGAACGAAAGUUAGAGGUUCGAAGGCGAUCAGAUACCGCCCUAGUUCUAACCAUAAACGAUGCCAACCAGCAAUCAGCCUGAGUUUUCAUGAUGACUCGGCUGGCGGCUUCCGGGAAACCAAAGUUUUUCGGUUCCAGGGGAAGUAUGGUUGCAAAGCUGAAACUUAAAGGAACGGAGGUUCGAAACGAUCAGAUACCGUCGUAAGUUCCGACCGUAAACGAUGCCGACCCGCGAUCCGGCGGCGUUAUUCCCCAUGACCCGCCGGGCAGCGUGCGGGAAACCCACGAGUCUCUGGGCUCCGGGGGGAGUAUGGUUGCAAAGCUGAAACUUAAAGGAUUUGACGAAGGGCACCACCAGGAGUGGAGCCUGCGGCUUAAUUUGACUCAACACGGGAAACCUCACCCGGCCCGGACACGGAAAGGAUUGACAGAUUGAUAGCUCUUUCUCGAUUCUGUGGGUGGUGGUGCAUGGCCGUUCGUAGUUGGUGGAGCGAUUUGUCUGGUUCAUUCCGAUAACGAACGAGGCUCCGGCAUGCUAAAUAGUUACGCGGCCCCGCGCGGUCGGCGUCCCAACUUCUUAGAGGGACAGUGGCGUUCAGCCACGCGAGAUGGAGCAAUAACAGGUCUGUGAUGCCCUUAGAUGUCCGGGGCUGCACGCGCGCCACAAUGGGCGGAUCAACGUGUGCCUACCCUGCGCCGACAGGCGCGGGUAACCCGUUGAACCCCGCUCGUGAUUGGGACUGGGGCUUGAAACUGUUUCCCAUCAACGAGGAAUUCCCCAGUAAGCGCAGGUCAUAAGCUUGCGUUGGAUUAAGUCCCUGCCCUUUGUACACACCGCCCGUCGCUACUACCGAUUGGAUGGUUUAGAGUGAGGUCCUCGGAUCGGCCCCGCCGGGGCUCCUCGCCGGGCCCUGGCGGAGCGCCGAGAAGACGAUCAAACUUGAUCCUCUAGAGGAAGUAAAAGUCGUAACAAGGUUUCCGUAGGUGAACCUGCGGAAG
rnacentral:rRNA from 1 species